rnacentral:ncRNA from 2 species
GGGAAACCGGUGAGAGUCCGGUACAGUACCCGCUGCUGUAAGUCUCACGCAAUAGCCGAUCGGCCUCGACAAGCCACUGGGGGCAACGCCCCUCGAGAAGGCGCUGAUGCGGCAGAGAUAAGUCAGAAGACC